rnacentral:rRNA from 1 species
GUAGGUGGCAAGCGUUGUCCGGAAUUAUUGGGCGUAAAGCGCGCGCAGGCGGUCCUUUAAGUCUGAUGUGAAAGCCCACGGCUCAACCGUGGAGGGUCAUUGGAAACUGGGGGACUUGAGUACAGAAGAGGAAAGCGGAAUUCCAAGUGUAGCGGUGAAAUGCGUAGAGAUUUGGAGGAACACCAGUGGCGAAGGCGGCUUUCUGGUCUGUAACUGACGCUGAGGCGCGAAAGCGUGGGGAGCAAACAGGAUUAGAUACCCUGGUAGUCCACGCCGUAAACGAUGAGUGCUAAGUGUUAGGGGGUUUCCCGCCCCCUUAGUGCUGCAGCUAACGCAUUAAGCACUCCGCCUGGGGAGUACGGCCCGCAAGGCUG